AAUUUUAUACAAGCGCCAGAACUUAAGAAGGGAUCGGGUAUAUACUUUUUAAGUUGACGAGGGUUGGGGUUUAUCGAAUAUUUCGGCGGGUGCCCCACGGUAUCGCACUACCGUUAACGAAAGGACAAAACUAGGGAGCAAUUUCUAGCACAAAUCCUAUCAGGUGUUAAA
rnacentral:ncRNA from 2 species